rnacentral:lncRNA from 1 species
GGGCUGAGUUUUUAGGCAAGGUGGUGGUAGAAAAAGAGGAGAGCAUAUUUGCAGAGAUAGUGCAUUAGAUAGAGCUUAUUAUCUCCAGAGGAGAUAAUCUAAAAUGGUUUGUGAAGACUAAUAAAGAGAUUCACCAAAAAAUUGAGUAUAAGGAAUACUUUGACACUGAGUAAGGAUUUGUUUACCUCCAAUAUCCACAGGGGGGGGUAGGAUGUUGGUUCUCCAUUCCGUUCAUAUGACGACUGUUGGGAUCAAAAACGGUUACGACAAAGUUAACAUUCAAAUGUCCGAAGAAGUAAGCGAGAAUAUUUCUACGAAAAAUAUUCUUUCGAAAAAGAUUUGUUUUUACAAAGAGCCUUGCGGAAAGAACACGUUCGCGAAACAUCGGAGAAAACCCGAAUAAGGUCGCUGCGUAACGAUCGAACACGCACACGUCUCGGUCGCUAUGUAGCGAC